GCCGCCUCCCCUCUCCUCCCCGGCUCCUCGGCACCGCCUCCCCUCGCCUACUCACCUCCUCGCCGCCGCCUUCCUCCCUUUCCUGCUCCCCGCCGUCGCCCUCUCUCUACAUAGGACACCACCCGACCGACUCCCCCACCGUGCUCCUCGUCCCCAUCCGCCGCCGCCGCCGCCUGUGCCACGGGGGCCGCUACCUCGCCGCCCUCUUCCUCCUUGCGCUCGCAGGCUUCCUCCUCAGGCCCGCUGACCCAGAUGUCAGCCUGGGGCAGGGGCGGCGCAAGGUGGCCGAGCAGCACGGGGCGGGAUCAGCUCAGUAGCGGCGGCGCAAAGGGCACAAGAACUCAAACUUAUCCAAGCUGCGGGGUGAGCAAGACGAUGAGGGAAGAUGAUGGUGGCGCGGUCCCUCUCAGCUCUCUCCUCAGAUCUGUUAAGGCGGCGAGGAACCACGACAAGCCCACGUUCGAGCAGGCCCAGGUGCUUCCCCAUGACAACUCUGCUGCGAGCGGCAGUUUCCUUCCCUCCCACCUCAGACUUGCGAACCAUUCAAAUAAGACAUGGGAUCAAAUGACAAAGAGCAUAAUACAAGUUGCUGCUCCAAGAAGAACAAGGGGAGAGAACACAAAUUUCUCUCACGGGUCUUGAUUUCACCCAUCAAUUGCGUCCUGUGAGAGGAAUAUUGAUAACCGAGGCUGCUUGUUUCGAUUUCCUCCUCUAUGACCUGAUCUGAUUGCUUGAUGAUUUAAUUUUCAAUCUUACAGUUCAUACUUCAAAGUUCAUGAUUUUGGUUAAGCGAUUUAAUGCCAGGUUUUUGCAAUGCUUGAAUAGGGUUCCAUGUUAGCUACUUUUGUAGGGAUAAUCCUAUAGGUUUAGUUUGUAGAACUUCUACAUGUGACCUCUACUUCCAUUACGCUCAAGUCACAGAUUGUAAACCGAAAGCGUAACUGUUUUUUUUUGUCAGGCUCAAAACCAUACUAGCAGCCUUUUGUUCCAAACCUCAAACUGUGUUCUUGCUACAUGGAUUUAAAAUGAAAGGAACAACUAGGACAUAGAAUUCAAAUUAUCAAAUGUUUCUUUGUACAAUCAGAGUAAUAAAAGUAUAAAAUUGAUCUCAUGUUGUCAUGAGCUAAGCCAAGAUUUCUGUACUUUGCAGAAUGAAUAAAACACAUACUACAGAGGUAAAUAAUGUUUUCUUUUGUAUUUCUAUUUCUUCCUCUUGCUUCAAAGCUACGAGUUCCGAUUGGGCGGUACAUGUUUAACUGUUUUAGCUGUGGGUUCUGAUUUCCGCUUUCACUAAAUCUUGAAUGAUUGUGCCUCAAGUAUUCAAUUUGUUCUGCAUGUAUAUUAGUUAAAUUAGCCAUACAAGGAAAGUUUGUUAUUUUGGGUGCUCCUGCCCUCUCUAAAUUCCCCCUGCAUAUAUAGUAGUUGGGUACCCUGGAGCUCCUCAAACUAAGCCCCAAGCAUCGCCGCCUGGGAUCUCCAGGAUCGACACACGUCCAUCCUUACCCAGACCGUGCAUAGCUGGCCAUGGCGUUCGUGAUGUAGCCGUAGGAGCAGCCAUCCAUACAGGAAGUACUAAUGUGGUUCUGUUUGGCUCAAUGUGCGGACUACGCUUCAUUUGGAUGGGGCGCGUUCUACACAUCAACAUCAGAGGUGGUGUUCAGAUGAGCAAAAUUCAUUAGCUGGUAUACUGGGCUUCAAGAUUAGGUGACUUUUGAUUUAACUGUGAGUUUUCCUGUCCAUGGAUCAGUAGUAUGCCAACAAGGUGAAGACCUUUGCCUGACACAAACUACAAAUAAGAACGAGCUGAUGCUCUACAAGAAAGCAAUUGUUGGCUGUACCAGCACCAAUUUGGAUUACUCUUUUAAUAAUCUUUGAAAUUAUUGUUAGCUUCAAAAUUUUCCACUGUGGAAAAAUAGCUUGAUGGGAUACUAAUGCAGGGCUAUUUGAGUCUUUUGGUGUACUUUAUUAUUUA